rnacentral:lncRNA from 1 species
AUGUACUCCAUCAAAUGUGGGCGUGGUUUGUGCGGUAUUUGCUGUUUCUUCCUGUCUUAUUUGGUCAACCAAAAGCUUUCAUUAGGCCAGCCAGAGAUCAUGAUUUUGCCCCCCAAUCCACAAACACUGGGUUUUUUUCAUUUUCAUUUUUUCUUUGGUUUAGAUCACUUAAACGAUAAAAGUCCAAGUUUAGCUCAUGCAUGCCUGGCACCUCUUUGCCCUCAAACAUUGAGAAUUCAAUUGCUUUGA